GCAUCAAAGAACUAGGACUUGAGGCAGCGGUUCAAAGGCAACACCCAGGCGAAAUCUGCAAUUCAGCAUCCUACACACCUGGAUUUGGGAAAUGUGGUUUCUGGAAGGAUGGGUAUGAUUUGUGAAAGUGUGCUUUCAGAAUUCAAGGAGUUGCUGUCAAUGUGUGGAGGUCCGAACGAAAAGCUGAGGGCCAAUUAUUUAUUGCAACAAAUCAUGAAAUGAGGUUGAGAUGGAUUGUUUGGCUCUUGCCUAGUGGUGGAUCGGCUAGCAAUGAACAGCAUGAUUUGAUUUCUGCCUGAAUGUUCUGCUUGCUGAUUUUUGCACUUCAUUUUGUAUCUAUAUUGUGGAUCAUAUUUGUAAUGUUCUCUACUCAUAA